AGAAGAAGACUCACGCGGCGCAAAGCGUGGUGGUGGCGGCGGCGGCGAUCCCGUGAGGGCAGCCACCCCGGCGGAAUGGAUGGGCGGACGACUGCCGCGUCCCUGAGCGUGAUAUUUUGCUAUCGCCUCGAGCGCGGCGAGGCACCCAGCCCUGGCCAGUCGCCUCCCGCAUCUGAGAGUGUGAUAUUUCGCUAUCGCCUCCAGAGCGGCGAGGCAGCCAGCCCUGCCGCCCGGGCAGGGCGGAGAGACCUGUGUCAUU
rnacentral:misc_RNA from 1 species